GCGGCCUAUCAGCUUGUUGGUGAGGUAAUGGCUCACCAAGGCGACGACGGGUAGCCGGCCUGAGAGGGCGACCGGCCACACUGGGACUGAGACACGGCCCAGACUCCUACGGGAGGCAGCAGUGGGGAAUAUUGGGCAAUGGAGGGAACUCUGACCCAGCGACGCCGCGUGCGGGAUGAAGGCCUUCGGGUUGUAAACCGCUUUCAGCAGGGAAGAAGCGAAAGUGACGGUACCUGCAGAAGAAGCACCGGCUAACUAUGUGCCAGCAGCCGCGGUAAUACAUAGGGUGCAAGCGUUGUCCGGAAUUAUUGGGCGUAAAGAGCUCGUAGGUGGUUCGUUACGUCGGAUGUGAAACUCUGGGGCUCAACCCCAGACCUGCAUUCGAUACGGGCGAACUAGAGUGUGGUAGGGGAGACUGGAAUUCCU
rnacentral:rRNA from 1 species